rnacentral:rRNA from 1 species
GAAGGAUGCAAGCGUCAUCCGGAUUCAUUGGGUUUAAAGGGUGCGUAGCGGCCCGGUAAGUCAGUGGUGAAAUCUCCUUGCUUAACAAGGAAACUGCCAUUGAUACUGUCGGGCUUGAGUACAGAUGCUGUGGGCGGAAUUUGACAUGUAGUGGUGAAAUACAUAGAGAUGUCAUAGAACACCGAUUGCUGAAGGCAGCUCACAAAACUGGUAACUGACGCUGAGGCACGAAAGUGCGGGGGACAAACAGGAUGUAGGAUACCCUGGUAAUCCGCACUGUAAACGAUGAUUACUCGCUGCUAGGGGGCAACUCUUAGUGGCUUAUGAAAACGAUAAGUGCACCACCUGGGGACUACGCUCGGGCAACGGUGG